AAUACCUGGCGGCAGGCUUACACCCCUGCAGUCUGAGCGGGGAAGGUAGCUUGCUACUAACCUAGCGGCGGACGGGUGAGUAAUGCUUAGGAAUCUGCCUAUUAGUGGGGGACAACGUUUCGAAAGGAACGCUAAUACCGCAUACGUCCUACGGGAGAAAGCAGGGAUCAUUUGACCUUGUGCUAAUAGAUGAGCCUAAGUCGGAUUAGCUAGUUGGUGGGGUAAAGGCCUACCAAGGCGACGAUCUGUAGCGGGUCUGAGAGGAUGAUCCGCCACACUGGGACUGAGACACGGCCCAGACUCCUACGGGAGGCAGCAGUGGGGAAUAUUGGACAAUGGGCGCAAGCCUGAUCCAGCCAUGCCGCGUGUGUGAAGAAGGCCUUAUGGUUGUAAAGCACUUUAAGCGAGGAGGAGGAGCUUCAGGUUAAUACCCUGGAUGCUUGGACGUUACUCGCAGAAUAAGCACCGGCUAACUCUGUGCCAGCAGCCGCGGUAAUACAGAGGGUGCAAGCGUUAAUCGGAUUUACUGGGCGUAAAGCGUGCGUAGGCGGCUAAUUAAGUCAAAUGUGAAAUCCCCGAGCUUAACUUGGGAAUUGCAUUCGAUAC
rnacentral:rRNA from 1 species